UUGUGCUGAUUGCAUAAUGCGGGUCUGGCUGCCCUUCCCUGGUGGCUCUGCUCAUCCCCGGGCUCGGGCUUCCGCUGCUCCAGGACCAGAGCAGGGACAGGGCAGCCCCCAGGCCUCCCAGGGGCCACGCUUCCUCUCCCUAACUGUGGGCUGGCUCUUCUGCGGCCGACUGCUAGAAGGAUCUUAUCCCGGGGUAACAGCUGUGUCUUCCAGGGUUUGUCUCUGCUUAUGCCCUGCCUUAUUCUCUCAGAAAUCCCAGAGCAGUGCAUUCCCCAGUGAGGCACAUUUGGCAAGACUGACAGCAGGCAGGUUUUGCGAGGGGUAAUUGAGCGUGUUUUGUAAACAGGUCCUGGGUCACUAGUUUAUAUAAACAUGAAGAUUUGGUUGGUUGAGCGUAGAAGAGCAGUAGGAUUCUAAGGGUCAGGAUUUGAAUACAGAAGCAAUUUUCUAGACCUUUCUUUUUGUAAACGGUGUCCUGAAAUCAAUAAACUAGCAAUUCAGAGCAUACGCAAGUUCAGACCGGUACCAAAAGCCAAAUCGCAUGCCUUUGUGGUAAAAAUAAGCAGGGCAUUUGGUCCCUACUGGCUUCGCUGGUCACUGCAGAUGACAUUUCAAAGACAAAGACCGUUUACCACAUUUGAAUGUUGCCAAGAUUCCCAAUUUGCAGUCUCAUUAGAAAUGCUUUCUCAUCUCUUCAAGAAAAUUGAAUGGAAAUUUCCAGUUCAUUCAAUGAAAUUGUGCUUAUGUCUCUUCUCCUUGUCUUUGGGAUGGAGGACUAAAUUAGAAACAAUAAUUUUCUCUGAGCUUGAUCUGUUCAUAGGAAAUACAUACGGAAUUUUAAAUAUAUUCAUUUUCUCAAAAUUGGCCUUUCUAAGUGACCGUGUGUGUGAUUUACUGCAGAAUCUCUCAUAGUGCGAGUCAAGGCUGACCACCCACUGUGCCAGACAGAACUGUGGAUUUGCACCCACUCUCGGUCCCCUGAGUGAAGGUCUGCAGGGUAGAGACAUGCUCUGUUUGAAGCAGAAUCUCCAAUGAUCCUUAAGGCCACCAAAGUUUGAGAAUCACCGACUUACAUUAGUUCUGUGGAAAGUCUUCUAGAUGUAUGGCAUCUUUUCUUUUUCAAGAAAAAUGAUCUGCCAGUUAACCUGUUUUGCCAUAUCUGUAUAGUUUAUUGUUUAAAAAAAUUCCAAUUUUUAAACUUGGCCACCUGUGGCAUGACUUUAUUUUACGUUGAACAGGGAUGGCCAAACUUGGAAAGAUAUUUCUAUUCCAGUGUUCGAUAAAGUGUCUCUCUGACCUUUUAUUUCUUAAUGAAGCCAUAGUUGUUGCCUCUGAGGCCACAGAUGCCAAGACCCUGAAAAUUAGCGAGGAGUCUGAAUUUUCUCUUCCGUGGCCGUUUGAGGCACUUCCAGGAUAAUUUUUACCAAAAUAUCAAAAAAGAAAAAUACCAAAUGUGAGAUGCUGAGAGUUCAUCAUAUAUACGUUCUGUUCUAUCUACUUUAUUUUAUAAUAAUACUGUGAUUUCCACUUUACAAAUCAUCCUUAAAAACCUUGAAGAUAUGUGAUGCAUGUUGUAGGGUGGACCACAGACUCCCACCUUGGAUCCUGGGUGUGGGCUCUUCAGGGUAACCCUGCCUCCUGUUUGUGGGCAAGGAAGUUUCCACAUCAAGCUGUCCUAAACUGUGCAGAGGGCAGCUGGAAGUACAUGAGAGUCUUGACUACAUUUCAGAAUUGGGGGAGUCAACGCAGACACGGUGGUGAUAGUCAUGGUGGAAAUUUGUUUUCGACCCCCGGUUUUCGUUAUAUGUGAUCAGUCACUCAUUAGACGAGAAAGUGACAUCUAAGCUUGUCCGAGGGGCAUAGAACACGUUUUCUGUGUCUUGUUAGGUGUUUGGGGUAUUUACUUUCUGCUAUUGUUUUUCAUAAUUCAUUCUUUUUUCUUUCUUUACUAUUGACGUGUCUAUUUGGGUGAUGGGCAUAUAGUUAUACAUUUUCAGUAGGUUUUAAGUGUUUUAUAAGUUAAAAAUAAAAUACAUAAAAUGUAAUUUUUUAAAAAGUAGCUCAGGUCCACUAUAGAAAUUUGAAAAUAAAAGAGCACAUGAGGAAAGUACCAGUUUCCUGUAAUACUGUUGCCUAGAAAUUAAACAGUGAUACAAAUUUG